rnacentral:ncRNA from 1 species
UGCGGUAACGCGACUGAUCCUGGGGGAAGCUGGCAGGAGCCCCGGGGAGAGUUCUCUUUUCUUCGUGAAGGGCAGGGCACCCUGGAAUGGGUUCGCCACGAGAGAGGAACCCAAGCCCUGGAAAGCGUUGCGGUUUUGGCGGCGUCCGGUGAGCUCUCCCUGGCCCUUAAAAAUCUGGGAGAGAG